rnacentral:rRNA from 1 species
GACGAACGCUGGCGGCGUGCUUAACACAUGCAAGUCGAACGGGAAGGCCCUGCUUUUGUGGGGUGCUCGAGUUGCGAACUGGUGAGUAACACGUGAGUAACCUGCCCUUGACUUUGGGAUAACUUCAUGAAACUGGGGCUAAUACCGGAUAGGAGCUCCUGCUGCAUGGUGGGGGUUGGAAAGUUUCGGCGGUUGGGGAUGGACCCGCGUCUGAUCAGCUUGUUGGUAGGGUAGUAGCUUACCAAGGCUUUGCCGCAUAGCCGGGCUGAGAGGAUGACAGGUCAGACUGGGACUGAGACACGGACCAGACUGGUACGGGAGAGAGGAGUAGAGAAUACUAUAGGCGGGGCGAAAGUCUAGUCACGCAAUGCGGCGGGAGAGAUGAAGGGGGUAGGGUUGCAAAGCUCUCUUAGCCGGGAUGAGAAUGACAGUAAUGGGAGAAUAAGCACCGGCUAACUACGUG